rnacentral:rRNA from 1 species
GAAAUGCGAUACUUGGUGUGAAUUGCAGGAUCCCGCGAACCACCGAGUCUUUGAACGCAAGUUGCGCCCGGAGCCUUGUGGCCGAGGGCACGUCUGCCUGGGCGUC